GGAAACCGGAGCUAAUACCGGAUAAUAUAUUGAACCGCAUAGUUCAAUAGUGAAAGACGGUUUUGCUGUCACUUAUAGAUGGAUCCGCGCCGCAUUAGCUAGUUGGUAAGGUAACGGCUUACCAAGGCAACGAUGCGUAGCCGACCUGAGAGGGUGAUCGGCCACACUGGAACUGAGACACGGUCCAG
rnacentral:rRNA from 1 species